CACGGCCCAGACUCCUACGGGAGGCAGCAGUGGGGAAUAUUGCGCAAUGGACGAAAGUCUGACGCAGCAACGCCGCGUGAGGGAUGACGGCCUUCGGGUUGUAAACCUCUUUCAGCAGGGACGAAGCGAGAGUGACGGUACCUGCAGAAGAAGGACCGGCCAACUACGUGCCAGCAGCCGCGGUAAUACGUAGGGUCCGAGCGUUGUCCGGAAUUAUUGGGCGUAAAGGGCUCGUAGGCGGUUCGUCACGUCGGGAGUGAAAACUCGGGGCUUAACCCCGAGCCUGCUUCCGAUACGGGCAGACUAGAGGUAGGCAGGGGAGAGCGGAACUCCUGGUGUAGCGGUGGAAUGCGCAGAUAUCAGGAAGAACACCGGUGGCGAAGGCGGCUCUCUGGGCCUUACCUGACGCUGAGGAGCGAAAGCGUGGGUAGCGAACAGGAUUAGAUACCCUGGUAGUCCACGCCGUAAACGUUGGGCGCUAGGUGUGGGGGACAUUCCACGUUCUCCGUGCCGCAGCUAACGCAUUAAGCGCCCCGCCUGGGGAGUA
rnacentral:rRNA from 1 species